rnacentral:rRNA from 1 species
AUUGAACGCUGGCGGCAGGCCUAACACAUGCAAGUCGAACGAGUGGCGGACGGGUGAGUAAUGUCUGGGAAACUGCCAGAUGGAGGGGGAUAACUACUGGAAACGGUCGCUAAUACCGCAUCCCAUAGGAUGUGCCCCGAUGUGAUUAGCUAGUAGGUGGGGUAACGGCUCACCUAGGCGACGAUCCCUAGCUGGUCUGAGAGGAUGACCAGCCACACUGGAACUGAGAUACGGUCCAGCCUCCGACGGGAGGCAGCAGUGGGGAAUAUUGCAAAAGGGGCGCAAGCCUGAUGCAGCCAUGCCGCGGGUAUGAAGAAGGCCAUCGGGUUGUAAAGUACUUUCAGCGAGGAGGCGUUACGCGCAGAAGAAGCACCGGCUAACUACGUGCCAGCAGCCGCGGUAAUUC